AUUUUGGACAAUGGGGGAAACCCUGAUCCAGCCAUCCCGCGUGUAUGAUGAAGGCCUUCGUGUUGUAAAGUACUUUUGGCAGAGAAGAAAAGAUAUCUCCUAAUACGAGAUACUGCUGUCUGUAUCUGCAGAAUAAGCACCGGCUAACUACGCUCCAGCCGCCUCGGUAAUAAGUAGGGUGCAAGCGUUAAUCGGAAUUACUGGGCGUAAAGCAUGUGUAGGCGGUUCGGAAAGAAAGAUGGGAAAUCACAGGGCUCAACCUUGGAACUGAAUUUUUAACUGACGAGCUAGAGUAUGUCAGAGGGGAGUAGAAUUCCACGUGUAGCAGUGAAAUGCGUAGAUAUGUGGAGGAAUACCGAUGGCGAAGGCAGCCCCCUGGGAUAAUACUGACGCUCAGACACGAAAGCGUGGGGAGCAAACAGG
rnacentral:rRNA from 1 species